AAAUUGAAGAGUUUGAUCAUGGCUCAGAUUGAACGCUGGCGGCAGGCCUAACACAUGCAAGUCGAGCGGAAACGAGUUAUCUGAACCUUCGGGGAACG
rnacentral:rRNA from 2 species